rnacentral:rRNA from 1 species
GUGCCAGCAGCCGCGGUAAGUCGAAGGUGGCAAGCGUUGUUCGGAAUUACUGGGCUUAAAGAGCACGUAGGCGGCUCAUCAAGUGUCUUGUGAAAUCCCCCGGCUCAACCGGGGAAUUGCUGGAUAGACUGAUGAGCUUGAGGCAGGUAGGGGCGAGUGGAACUCUUGGUGGAGCGGUGGAAUGCGUAGAUAUCAAGAGGAACGCCGGAGGUGAAGACGACUCGCUGGGCCUGUCCUGACGCUGAGGUGCGAAAGCUAGGGGAGCAAACGGGAUUAGAUACCCCCGUAGUCC